UUAGUCACUGACAAUUGUGUGAAGGCUGCUGUCGUUAACUUCACUUGAUCACCUUAGGCUCCUGUGAAGUGGUGAGCAAUUCAAACAAAUUCCUGUCGUCAAAUCAUGUGUUCAGCUGCAUUGGCGCCAGAGCACCAAUGGGGCAAGAGAAUCCUCUGGAGAAGUUUUCUGUGAUCUCAUCACAGGAGUAGCCCAGAGGAACAGCCCAGGGCCUGGGGCCUAGGAUGGGUGGACCAGGCCAUGCAGCUGGUUGGGGGCUUGACCCCCACUCAAAAAGACAGGAGAGAGAAGGGGAAUGGCUGUAAGCAGUGAAGCUCCUCUUUGAACACUGUAGAAGGUUCCCAUCCUGGCACAGGCAUGAUGGAGAAAUUGCACUGCAGAGAAAUCUUUAAAAGCAAUUACCUAAUACUGCAGAUUGCUGAACUGUACCCACACCCAAGACUGAGCAUUGGAUCAAUCCAGAAUAUACAUCAGGUGUUCUGCAAUGUCUGCCUAAAACCAUGACUCUGCCUCCUCCAGCUGUUGCUACAUCUCACUAUGGGUUUCCUGUGACAUUUUGAGCAAGUAUGCCUCUGUGACUGGGGUUCUUACACUCCAGAAUGGAUGAGAAGCACCGUAAGUGGCUUUUAAAAUGAAUAUUCCCUGGCCCUUCAGUCGCUCUAUAGGUCAAGAAUCUGAAUUCUCAACCUGUCUAGAAGGUUCUGGUUUUAAUGGUCUGUGGGCUGCACAUUGAGAAACCUGUUCAGCGAGUGCAACAAAGGUUCCACAUGUGAGAAAGGAAGCAUCAGGUCUCUUGAGCCUGUUCUUUAAUCUGUAGGCUGCACCUUCUCUUUAAAUUCUGCUAAUAACACCAUGCGAGAAAACACCCGAGCUUGAAAAGCCCAUGUUCCAACAUAACUGUCCUUCACCACUCUGGAAAAUUAAUGGUUUGUUUCGAUUAUCCCUUUGUUAAACUCCAAAGUCAAAGAGCUCUGAAAGGCAUACGGUUAUUUUAAGUUUCAGGUGAUUUCUGUUGCCAAAUAUUUUAAAAAUUUAAAAUUGCUACGUGACCUCUUAGUAGUACUAUUAGAUUUCCUGACAAUAAAAAUAAGUCUUUUGGUUUCACCAUUUAUAGUUAGUACAGCUAAUAUUAAGUAUAAUUUUAAAAGCCUUUUAUUUUCUCAGAAAGAAAAAAUAAUCAAAAUCUGCUCAGUGUGGUAUUGAAUAAUUAAAAACAAAAGAACAGUAUCUUCACAUUAGUGUUUAAUAUUAAUUGCUUUUUUACCCUUGACACUGGUGCUAAUUAAAUUUUCAUUUUAUUUUCCAUGAC
rnacentral:lncRNA from 1 species